rfam:Gonium pectorale scaffold00047, whole genome shotgun sequence.
AUACUUACCUGGCCCGCUUCUCGAGGUGGUCACCAUGGCCUCGGUUGCAUCCUUGGGCUUCGCCUUGCACUCCGCGAGGCCCUUGGGUGGCAGGGCCCUUCGGGGUUCCUGCAGGGCUAUAUUUUUGGAAGGCUGAGGAUCCGCGCACUGCGCGACCUCGGC